GUGCUCACUUUGGCAACACAUGUACUAAGAAUUGGAAUGAUGCAGAGAAGAUUAGCAUGGACCCUGUGCAAGGAUGACAUGCAAAUUCAUGUGUCCUGUAUUUUU
ensembl:snRNA U6 U6 spliceosomal RNA